GGUACUAAACACACCGCUACGAGGUGAGCAGCAGGCAACGAUCCAUCAGAUCGGCUGAGAUGUGAAA
rnacentral:ribozyme from 1 species